rnacentral:rRNA from 1 species
CGGCAUGCCUAAGACAUGCAAGUCGUACGAGGUGGCCCGUAGAGUUCUGUGCUUGCACAAACAAUAUGGAUCCCCACCUAGUGGCGAAAGGGUGAGUAACACGUGGGUUAUCUACCUCAGAGACUGGGAUAACUACUGGAAACGGUAGCUAAUACCGGAUGAUAUAUUAAAUGAUACGUUAUUUAAUAGUAAAAGGUGCCUUUAAAGCAUCACUUUGAGAUGAGCCUGCGACGUAUUAGCUAGUUGGUAAGGUAAUGGCUUACCAAGGCGACGAUGCGUAGCCGACCUGAGAGGGUGAUCGGCCACACUGGGACUGAGACACGGCCCAGACUCCUACGGGAGACAGCAGUUAGGGAUAUUCGUCAAUGGAGGAAACUCUGAACGAGCAAUGCCGCGUGAGUGAUUGACAGUUCUUUGGAUUGUAAAACUCUGUUGUUAGGGAAGAACGACUCGUAUAGGAAAUGAUACGGGAGUGACAGUACCUUUCAAGAAAGCUCCGGCUAACUACGUGCCAGCAGCUGC